AAAUCUUUAAAAUACAAAAUGAAAAAAUGUAUCCUGCAGAAAUCCUGAAAUGUUUGCUAAAUCUACAGUGUUUGUUAUGGCAAGGUAAAAAAAAAAAAAAAAAAGUCUCAAGGGCUUCUCUCACAAGACUUGUAUGACACUUUUUAAUAAACAAAAAAAGUAUUUUGAACUCCAUGUAUGCCCUCAUCAGCUCAUGCACAUAGCUUCCGUUAAUGGUGAUGAAACUGCAUGGAUGCACCAAUGGGACAGUAGACCCCUGGUCAAGUUAAAAGUGUCUGCAGGAAAAGAGUAGCAAAAUAAUAGUGUCUAUCCAAUGUAUCAUCUUCUCCCAGUGCUCAAAAGAUGUUUUUAAAUACCCUAACUCAACAGUAGUUUUGUGCUCUUUUACUGAUGGGAAUUUUCAAACCCCAAGUUAUUUCAUUAGGUAACACCACCGGUGUUUAAAAUGUCAGAAUCAAACUCCAUUUCCUAGUGUGAACACUGAAUACCAGUGCCUGAAGGAAAGUUUUAUAGCAUCAAUUAACUGCAACCAUUUGUAGGACUGACAAAGAGCUGCAUCAAAGUAUUAUUCUAACUUUUAGAUGUAUUGUGCAUCAUUUUUAUAACAUGCAAGCCAACAAUGAUGUACCUUGUUAUUGCAGGUCAGAACAACAUCACCCCAGCAGAUAAAUCACAGAGACUGUCAUUAGCAGUCCCAGAACUUGCAAGGCACAGGAUGAGAGAGGCCACAGAAGAGUAUGUCAUCCAAGGUCUAUCACAGUAGCAGCGAAAGAAUACAAUCCCAGAGUAUCAAUGUUUACCUUAAGCAUGAGCCUAUCCUGUCCGCUUCUUAACGUUCCCAGCUCCAUUUGCUACCCACCUCCCAGCCUUGACAACAAAUGGGGAAAUAUCAUGUGGAACCAAGAAACAGCCAUGAAAUUCAAACUGGCGUAUGUAAAUAGAGUACAAGAAUUGGGUUUUAGCUGUAAUGAGCCCAGAGGGAUUACUUAUUAAAGUUACUAAAACCAGACUGCUUAACUCCUCAGUUAUUUCAAAUGCUAUCCAAUAGCUACAUUGCCAAAAGGGGCCAAAUAAUCUACUUGGAUUGGUGUACAAUAUGCUUUGAAACAGAUGCAUUGGUUUAUGUUUCAUUUAGGUCUGUGCUGACAGUGAGACCCUGGCCCAGGAAUACUCGACUUCUGACUUCCAUCACGCCCUCUGAGGACUAAUAAAUGCACAGGAAGACAAUGGCUGGUAUUAAUGCUCUCUAUGGCUAACUGAAAAAGAGAGAUGGAGCAGGACUGCUCUGUUGCCAAGACAAUAGAAACCAUAAGUCAGUGAAAACUAGGAAAGAUCUAACUGAAAUAAACGAAAGUUGAACCUAAUUAAAGAAACAAGUAAACUAAUGUAAAGGUGGAGGGUCAGGGGAUGCUCAUUUUCUUUUCUGUUUUCCCUAUGAAUUCGCCUACAAAGAACUGGUGAAGGAGCUGUGGCAAAAGCAAUUGAGCAUAAAAAACCAUAGGGCUGUGUGUACUUCUCUGAUUUAUCAUGGCUUACAUGAAACCCAAUAUUGUUUAUACUCAAGUGAGAUGUGGCUUACUAUUCCAUGCAUUUAGGUAUGAUUGUGUUUCUAGUUACUGUUUAAUGAAACAUGGAUCUUGAGACUUUUGCAGUGCUCCUUCUUCUGAAGAAACACUGUGAAAUGAAAGAUGAAUAUGCUCAACCAUGUAAUGGAAUAAUUUAGUUUUGGUUUUAUUUUCUUCUGGUUGUUUUGGUUUUUUUUU